AAGGAGGUCCGACUGCAGAGGGACGACUUCGAGAUUCUGAAGGUGAUCGGACGCGGAGCGUUCAGCGAGGUAGCGGUAGUGAAGAUGAAGCAGACGGGCCAGGUGUAUGCCAUGAAGAUCAUGAACAAGUGGGACAUGCUGAAGAGGGGCGAGGUGUCGUGCUUCCGUGAGGAGAGGGACGUGUUGGUGAAUGGGGACCGGCGGUGGAUCACGCAGCUGCACUUCGCCUUCCAGGAUGAGAACUACCUGGUGAGCUCCGGGCCGGGGUGACUAGGAAGAGGGACAAGAGCCCGUGCUGUCACUGGACGAGGAGGUGGGGAGAGGAAGCUCUAGGAUUGGGGGUGCUGCCCGGAAACGUCUGUGGGAAAGUCUGUGUGCGGUAAGAGGGUGUGUCAGGUGGAUGAGGGGCCUUCCCUAUCUGAGACGGGGAUGGUGUCCUUCACUGCCCGUUUCUGGGGUGAUCUGGGGGACUCUUAUAAAGAUGUCUCUGUUGCG
rnacentral:lncRNA from 1 species